rnacentral:rRNA from 1 species
GAUGAGCGCUGGCGGCGUGCCUAAUACAUGCAAGUCGAGCGAACGGACGAGAAGCUUGCUUCUCUGAUGUUAGCGGCGGACGGGCGAGUAACAAGUGGAUAACCUACCUAUAUGACUGGGAUAACUUCGGGAAACCGGAGAUAAUACCGGAUAAUAUUUUGAACCGCAUGGUUCAAAAGUGAAAGACGGUCUUGCUGUCACAUAUAGAUGGAUCCGCGCUGCAUUAGCUAGUUGGUAAGGUAACGGCUUACCAAGGCAACGAUGCAUAGCCGACCCGAGAGGGUGAUCGGCCACACUGGAACUGAGACACGGUCCAGACUCCUACGGGAGGCAGCAGUAGGGAAUCUUCCGCAAUGGGCGAAAGCCUGACGGAGCAACGCCGCGUGAGUGAUGAAGGUCUUCGGAUCGUAAAACUCUGUUAUUAGGAAAGAACAUAUGUGUAAGUAACUGUGCACAUCUUGACGGUACCUAAUCAGAAAGCCACGGCUAACUACGUG